ensembl:misc_RNA Metazoa_SRP Metazoan signal recognition particle RNA
GCUGGGUGAGGUGGCUCACGCCUGUAAUCCCAGCACUUUGGGAGGCUGAGGUGGGUGGAUCACCUGAGGUCAGGAGUUUGAGACCAGCCUGGCCAACAUGGUGAAACCCCAUCUCUA